rnacentral:rRNA from 1 species
CAGCCGCCGCGGGAAUACGUAGGUGGCAAGCGUUGUCCGGAAUUAUUGGGCGUAAAGGGCUCGCAGGCGGCUUCUUAAGUCUGAUGUGAAAGCCCCCGGCUCAACCGGGGAGGGUCAUUGGAAACUGGGAAACUUGAGUGCAGAAGAGGAGAGUGGAAUUCCACGUGUAGCGGUGAAAUGCGUAGAGAUGUGGAGGAACGCCAGUGGCGAAGGCGACUCUCUGGUCUGUAACUGACGCUGAGGAGCGAAAGCGUGGGGAGCGAACAGGAUUAGAUACCCGUGUAGUCCCUGUCUCUUAUAA